rnacentral:rRNA from 1 species
UACGUAGGGUGCAAGCGUUGUCCGGAAUUAUUGGGCGUAAAGAGCUCGUAGGCGGUCUGUCGCGUCGGCUGUGAAAACUUGGGGCUCAACCCCAAGCCUGCAGUCGAUACGGGCAGACUAGAGUCCGGCAGGGGAGACUGGAAUUCCUGGUGUAGCGGUGAAAUGCGCAGAUAUCAGGAGGAACACCGGUGGCGAAGGCGGCGACCUGGGACAAUACUGACGCUGAGGUGCGAAAGCGUGGGGAGCAAACAGG